rnacentral:misc_RNA from 1 species
GAUGAAGAACGCAGCGAAAUGCGAUAAGUAGUGUGAAUUGCAGAAUUCAGUGAAUCAUCGAAUCUUUGAACGCACAUUGCGCCCUUUGGUAUUCCUUAGGGCAUGCCUGUUCGAGCGUCAUUUAAACCUUCAAGCUCAGCUUGGUGAUGGGUGACUGUCCUCCCCUCGCGGGGGGACUCGCCUCAAAAACAUUGGCGGCCGGUACAUUGGCUUCGAGCGCAGCAGAAACGCGGUCUCGAGUCCGGUGGAUCGGCUCCCAUAAGUCUAUUCUUUUAUUUUGACCUCGGAUCAGGUAGGGAUACCCGCUGAACUUAAGCAUAUCAAUAAGCGGAGGA